rnacentral:lncRNA from 1 species
GAUGACAAAUUUAUUUAAUCAUUGUGGUAUCCAUUUAUUUAAAAACUGUGUGCAUGCUCUCUUUGUACCAGACACUGUAUUAGGAGCUGGUGACAUAGUGGGAUACAAGGACAAAGCCAUGCUCUUAUGAAGCUUACAUUCUAGGAUAAUUCUUUGCCAUAAACAUAAACCAAACACUUCCACUAGAAAUGCUGACCAAUGCCUGGAUUCUCUGCUCAUUCUAGGGGGGAAACCAGCUGCCAUAUUAAGAAAACAGUCCUAUGGAAAGGGCCACGGAACAAAGAAGUGACUUCUGCCAACAACCUCAUGAGUGAACCUGGAAGUGGCUCUUCUAGUCCUGGUCAAGUCUUAUAGACUAUGGCACCAACUGAUAGUGUGACUGUAACUUCAUAAGAGAUGCUGAACCAGACCACCCAAUAAGACACUCCCAGA